rnacentral:misc_RNA from 1 species
GAUGAAGAACGUAGCGAAAUGCGAUAAGUAGUGUGAAUUGCAGAAUUCAGUGAAUCAUCGAAUCUUUGAACGCACAUUGCGCCCCUUGGUAUCCCGAGGGGCAUGCCUGUUCGAGCGUCAUUUCACCACUCAAGCCUGGCUUGGUGUUGGGCGACGUCCUCUUUGGGGACGCGCCUCGAAACGCUCGGCGGCGUGGCACCGGCUUUAAGCGUAGCAGAAUCUUUCGCUUUGGAAGUCGGGGCCCCGUCUGCCGGAAGACCUGCUCGCAAGGUUGACCUCGGAUCAGGCAGGGACACCCGCUGAACUUAAGCAUAUCAAUAAGCGGAGGA